rnacentral:rRNA from 1 species
UACGUAGGGUGCAAGCGUUGUCCGGAAUUAUUGGGCGUAAAGAGCUCGUAGGCGGUCUGUCGCGUCGGCUGUGAAAACCCGGGGCUCAACCCCGGGCCUGCAGUCGAUACGGGCAGACUAGAGUGCGGUAGGGGAGACUGGAAUUCCUGGUGUAGCGGUGAAAUGCGCAGAUAUCAGGAGGAACACCGAUGGCGAAGGCAGCCAUCUGGACCGACACUGACGCUGAGGCGCGAAAGCGUGGGGAGCAAACAGG